GAUUGAAGGCUCCAGUUCUUUGAUUGUGAUCAUCCAGAGGAUGCCCUCAGUUUCUCACCAAUGUGACUUACCUGCUUGCUUCAUCAGAACAAUUAAGGGGAAAAAGCCAGGGAGAGACUACUAGCAAGAUGAAAGUCACAGUCUUUUCAAUCCUAAUCAUGACCAUUCUCCAUUUAUUCUAAGCAAAUGACUAGGUCCAGCCAAUACACAAGGGGAGGAGAUUAUACAAGGCUGUGAAUGCCAGGAAUUGGCCAUCACUAGGAGCCAUAUCAGAAGUUACCUACCACUAUAUAUAUUGAGCCAAGGAAAGACUAUCUGUUUGUCCAGGAUAGGAAGACUGUCCCAGAUGAAUGAAGAAAAGACAUUCAACCCUGAGAAGUUUAUCUUUAUUUCAAAGAGGGAAAAAGAUACAGGCAAGGAAAUCAGAGAUGGAAAAUGCAAACCACUGGGAGGAAAAGGGCCUAGGUCCUGGAGGUACUUUUGCCUCCAACCAUUCCUUGCUAUAUUUUACCUCAGCUUUUCCAUCACAGAAGGAAAAAGCGUUGGAUGAUAAGAGAAAAUGAUGAGCAGAGAGACUGAGUGAGAACUGACUGUACUCCAUAGACGGACCCAUCAAAUGGCUUUGUGAGGACCUCAAAGGUUCACGUUGGAGCAUAAAUGAGGAAAAAGGCCAGAUUCUGGAAGACAGAGAAACAGGCAAACGAGUUGUUUCUGUUUGUUAAUAUCUUGGGAAAUUAUUAAUUCAAGAGGGAGAAUAAAAAAGAGGACAUCCACA
rnacentral:lncRNA from 1 species